AGAGUGAACGCUGGCGGCAGGCCUAACACAUGCAAGUCGAACGGCAGCACAGGGGAGCUUGCUCCCUGGGUGGCGAGUGGCGGACGGGUGAGGAAUACGUCGGAAUCUGCCUAUUUGUGGGGGAUAACGUAGGGAAACUUACGCUAAUACCGCAUACGACCCUGGACCGGGAGGUUGGGGGUGAAAGCGGAGGACCUUCGGGCUUCGCGCAGAUAGAUGAGCCGACGUCGGAUUAGCUAGUUGGCGGGGUAAAGGCCCACCAAGGCGACGAUCCGUAGCUGGUCUGAGAGGAUGAUCAGCCGCACUGGAACUGAGACACGGUCCAGACUCCUACGGGAGGCAGCAGUGGGGAAUAUUGGACAAUGGGCGCAAGCCUGAUCCAGCCAUGCCGCGUGUGUGAAGAAGGCCUGGUGUAAGCACUUUGUUGGUAGAAAGCCGAGGUUAAGUACCUGGGUCAUGACGGUACCAAGAAUAAGACACCGCUAAC
rnacentral:rRNA from 1 species